rnacentral:ncRNA from 1 species
GUAUAGGAGAUAGAACUUUCUUUUGGCGCUAUAGAGGUAGUACCGCAAGGGAAAGAUGAAAGAUAAAAUUAACAGUAAAAAAAAGCAUAGAUCACCCCUAUUACCUUUUGUAUAAUGAGUUAACUAGAAUAAAUUUGGCAAAGAGGACUGAAGCCAACCACCCCGAAACCAAACGAGCUACUUUUAAACAGCUAACAGAGCAAACUCGUCUAUGUAGCAAAAUAGUGAGAAGAUUUAGAAGUAGAGGUGAAAAGCCAAUCGAGCUUGGUGAUAGCUGGUUAUCCAAAUAAGAAUAUCAGUUCAGCUUUAAGUUUUCCAAAAAUAUAACCAAAUCAAAUGAAAACUUAAAACUUAAUCUAAAGAGGGACAGCUCUUUAAAAUAAGGAAACAACCUCUAACAGUGGGUAAAAAAUAAAAGCUCCAUAGUUGGCCUAAGAGCAGCCAUCAAUUAAGAAAGCGUUCAAGCUCGACAACCCAUAAAAUU